AAUAAAAAUAAAAAUAAUAAAAAUAAACUUUUUAUAUUGGGUAUUUCCUGUAAGACAUAGUUUUUGGGAGGUUGCUAGAAAACGAUUGUGGGCCCAUUUGGGAGGUUUUUCGCAAUUUUGCCAUUACAUUUCCCUCUCGCUCUCGCGCGCUCCGGAGAAUACGAGUUGCUGUGCUUUCUUUCUCUACCAUUCUUUUCAUCCAUACUCUGGAGAACCCAACCCUACCUUAAUUCCUGUGGUUUUUCAGGACUCGCUUUACCCCUCUCUACUCUGGAGAACCUAACCCUAACUUUAAUUCCUGUGGUUUUUCUGGCCUCGGACCACUACCACUACCGCUCUCUUGAUCCGCACUCUGGAGAACCUAACCCUAGCUUUAAUUCCUGUGGUUUUUCUGGCCUCGGAUCAGCAGGUGAAGAGCGGGAGUGAGCUCUGGAGAAUAUGAUUGGCUGUACUUUCUGUCUCUGCCAUUCUUUUGAUCCGCACUCUGGAGAACCUCACCCUACCUUAAUUCAUGUUGUUUUGUAGGCCUCGCUAUACCGCUCACUCUGGAGAACCUAACCCUAACUUUAAUUGCUGUGGUUUUUCUGGCCUCGGACCAACUGAUG
rnacentral:lncRNA from 1 species